UCUUUCGGAGAGUUUGAUCCUGGCUCAGGACGAACGCUGGCGGCGUGCCUAAUACAUGCAAGUCGAGCGAAUCUGAGGGAGCUUGCUCCCAACGAUUAGCGGCGGACGGGUGAGUAACACGUGGGCAACCUGCCCCUAAGAUUGGGAUAACUCCGGGAAACCGGUGCUAAUACCGAAUAGUUUCCAACACCUCAUGGUGUUGGAAGGAAAGUUGGCUUCGGCUAACACUUAGGGAUGGGCCCGCGGCGCAUUAGCUAGUUGGUGAGGUAACGGCUCACCAAGGCAACGAUGCGUAGCCGACCUGAGAGGGUGAUCGGCC
rnacentral:rRNA from 1 species